rfam:Oryza nivara chromosome 3, whole genome shotgun sequence.
CUCCGUCGUGAUUGUGAGUUUUUCAAAGUUUGACCGGCCGUUUUAUUAAAAGAAAAAUUGUCAUUAGUAUUUCUAUUGUUACUAAAUGAUAAAAUAUAAAUAGUACUUUAGUACUUUAUGUGUGACUUAUUUUUUAAUUGUUUCAUAAACUUUUCAAACAAUACAGACGAUCAAACGUUGGACACGAAAACUUACCAUCAAACUUAAA